rnacentral:tRNA from 1 species
CUCUUUGGCGCAGUAGGCAGCGUGUCAGUCUCAAAAGCUGAAGGUCCCGAGUUAGAUCCUCGGAAAGAGA